rnacentral:rRNA from 1 species
GAUGAACGCUGGCGGCGUGCCUAAUACAUGCAAGUCGAGCGAAGCGGGGACGGGUGAGUAACAAGUGGAUAACAUCCUAUAAGACUGGGAGAACAUCGGGAAACCGGAACUAAACCGGCUACUUAUAGAUGGAUCCGGGGUGCAUUAGCUAGUUGGUAGGGUAACGGCUUACCAAGGCAACGCUGCAUAGCCGACCUGAGAGGGUGAUCGGCCACACUGGAACUGAGACACGGUCCAGACUCCUACGGGAGGCAGCAGUAGGGAAUCUUCCGCAAUGGGCGAAAGCCUGACGGAGCAACGCCGCGUGUGUGAUGAAGGUCUUCGGAUCGUAAAACUCUGUUAGUAGGGAAGCGGUACCUAAACAGAAAGCCACGGCUAACUACGUGCCAGCAGCCGCGGUAAUUC